rnacentral:lncRNA from 1 species
GGGGUGGAGGUGAUUUCACUGGUGGGGGAGGUGAAUGGUAGUAGUAGGGAGGAGGUGGUGAUGGUGAAGGGGGAGGUGGGGACUUGUAGACAUAUGGAGGAGGGGGAGAUGAAGAUGGUGGUGGAGGAGACUUGUAGUAGUAAGGUGGUGGAGGUGAUGGAGAUGGUGGAGGAGGGGAUUUGUAGUAGUAUGGGGGUGGAGGAGAUGGUGAGGGGGGAGGUGGGGAUUUGUAGUAGUAGGGUGGUGGAGGAGAUGGUGAGGGAGGUGGGGGAGACUUGUAAUAGUAUGGAGGUGGUGGUGAAGGAGAGGGUGGUGGGGGAGACUUGUAGUGGUAGGGUGGAGGAGGAGAUGGCGAUGGUGGAGGGGGUGACUUGUAGUAGUACGGUGGUGGUGGUGAUGGUGAUGGUGGUGGUGGUGACUUGUAAUAGUACGGGGGUGGAGGGGAUGGGGAUGGAGGUGGUGGGGAUUUGUAAUAAUAAGGUGGUGGAGGAGAUGGCGACGGUGGAGGAGGUGAUUUGUAAUAGUAUGGUGGUGGUGGUGAUGGUGACGGUGGAGGUGGUGACUUGUAGUAGUAGGGUGGGGGAGGAGAGUGAACC